rnacentral:rRNA from 1 species
UGACGGUACCUGACUAAGAAGCCCCGGCUAACUACGUGCCAGCAGCCGCGGUAAUACGUAGGGGGCAAGCGUUAUCCGGAUUUACUGGGUGUAAAGGGAGCGUAGACGGCGAGGCAAGUCUGAAGUGAAAGCCCGGGGCUCAACUCCGGGACUGCUUUGGAAACUGUUUUGCUAGAGUGCAGGAGAGGUAAGUGGAAUUCCUAGUGUAGCGGUGAAAUGCGUAGAUAUUAGGAGGAACACCAGUGGCGAAGGCGGCUUACUGGACUGUAACUGACGUUGAGGCUCGAAAGCGUGGGGAGCAAACAGGAUUAGAUACCCUG